rnacentral:rRNA from 1 species
GACAGAGGGGGCAAGCGUUGCUCGGAAUUACUGGGCGUAAAGGGCGCGUAGGCGGGAUGGCAAGUCGGUCGUGAAAUCCCUCGGCUCAACUGAGGAUCGUCGAUCGAUACUGCCGUUCUUGAGGAUUGCAGAGGAGACUGGAAUUCCCGGUGUAGCGGUGAAAUGUGUAGAGAUCGGGAGGAACACCCGUAGCGAAGGCGGCACUCUGGGCCGAUACUGACGCUGAGGAGCGAAAGCGUGGGGAGCAAACGGG